AUGCGGGACUCAUCAGAGGCCUCGCAAUUGGAAUGAGCGCACUUUAAAUCGUUCGACGAGGAUCUAUUGGAGGGCAAGUCUGGUGCCAGCAGCCGCGGUAAUUCCAGCUCCGAUAGCGUAUAUUAAAGUUGUUGCAGUUAAAAAGCUCGUAGUUGGAUCUGGGGUUCGGGUCGGCGGUUUGCCGCUUCGGCGGCUACUGCCGUGCUCGACUCUUACUAGCCGGUGCGUCUUGCGGUGCUCUUCAUCGAGUGCCGUAGGAGCCUGGCAUGUUUACUUUGAAAAAAUUAGAGUGCUCAAAGCAGGCGAUUCCGCCUGAAUAGUGUUGCAUGGAAUAAUGGAAUAGGACCUCGGUUCUAUUUUGUUGGUUUUCGGAACUUGAGGUAAUGAUUAAGAGAGACGGUCGGGGGCAUUCGUAUUUCGGUGUUAGAGGUGAAAUUCUUGGAUCGCUGAAAGACGGACAAAUGCGAAAGCAUCUGCCAAGAACGCCUCCAUUAAUCAAGAACGAAAGUCAGAGGUUCGAAGACGAUCAGACACCGUCCUAGUUCUGACCAUAAACGAUGCCAACUAGCGAUCCGCAGUGGUUGCUAUAAACGGACUCUGCGAGCAGCUUCCGGGAAACCAAAGUGUUUGGGUUCCGGGGGAAGUAUGGUUGCAAAGCUGAAACUUAAAGGAAUUGACGGAAGGGCACCACCAGGAGUGGAGCCUGCGGCUUAAUUUGACCCAACACGGGGAAACUCACCCGGUCCGGACACUGUAAGGAUUGACAGAUCGAGAGCUCUUUCUUGAUUCGGUGGAUGGUGGUGCAUGGCCGUUCUUAGUUGGUGGAGUGAUUUGUCUGGUUAAUUCCGAUAACGAACGAGACUCUAGCCUGCUAACUAGUUGCGCCGUGUUCAUACGCGGCUGUAGACUUCUUAGAGGGACAGGUGGCGUUUAGCCACACGAAAUUGAGCAAUAACAGGUCUGUGAUGCCCUUAGAUGUCCGGGGCCGCACGCGCGCUACACUGAAGGAGUCAGCGUGUGCUAUCAGGGCUCGGAAGAGUUCGGUAACCCGUUGAAACUCCUUCGUGCUUGGGAUUGUGGCUUGUAAUUAUCGCGCAUGAACGAGGAAUUCCCAGUAAGUGCAAGUCAUCAGCUUGCGCUGACUACGUCCCUGCCCUUUGUACACACCGCCCGUCGCUACUACCGAUUGAAUGGUUUAGCAAGGUACUCGGAUUGGUCUCGAUCUUGUACGAAAGUGCGGGAUCUGUGGCCGAGAAGAAGGCCAAACUUGAUCAUUUAGAGGAAGUAAA
rnacentral:rRNA from 1 species